UACGUAGGGUGCAAGCGUUAAUCGGAAUUACUGGGCGUAAAGCGUGCGCAGGCGGUUUUGUAAGUUUGUCGUGAAAUCCCCGGGCUCAACCUGGGAAUUGCGAUGGAGACUGCAAGGCUUGAAUCUGGCAGAGGGGGGUAGAAUUCCACGUGUAGCAGUGAAAUGCGUAGAGAUGUGGAGGAACACCGAUGGCGAAGGCAGCCCCCUGGGUCAAGAUUGACGCUCAUGCACGAAAGCGUGGGGAGCGAACAGG
rnacentral:rRNA from 1 species